ensembl:snoRNA SNORA74 Small nucleolar RNA SNORA74
CCCAGCGGUAGUCAGCUGUGCAGGCCAGACCAUGCCUGAGCUAGUGUUACUCUGCUGGAAGAGAAAGGCACUGCCAUUUGUGCUCCAUCAGGUUUGGCUGUUUUAGUGAAUCCUGCUGUGUGGUGCUGGUUAUGCCAUGUCUUCUGAGAGUGGCCUGUACUCACAAAAUGAGGCAGGCCUAGUCUGGAGGCAAACACU